CGCAUCAGAUGCUAUUUACUCGGUUAUAAUUAAGCAUACAAAGCGAGGAGAGUUUGCUCAUAUGAGACCGGCCAGUUUUAAUAGACUGUUUUGUGAGUAUUCGCACCAGUAUGAGUGUGAAAAUCUCGGAGGGCGCACCAGUUCGCCUCCAAACCCAAACUGAACGAACUGGUGCUUGUGUCUACAAUGAGAUGACAAAGAAACAAAAUAAGCUAUUAUUACUCACCCAAAAAAAAAGGCAAGAACGAAGCUUUCAAUGCAAAAGUUAAUACACUCCAGGCAUAACUAUGGACAGAUGCGGGUUGUGCAAAAACUGAAGGACAUUUGCUGUCG